AAAAAAAAUUAUAGCCAUCCCAGAAGUUGUGAAGUCAUAUCUCACUGUGGUUUUGAUGAGUAUUUUCCUAGCGACAUCAGGGAGUUUAUGGGAGCACGGGAACACAGGCCAGGCCCCAGCAGGCGGACGAACGGUGCAACGCCAGGCUGGCCAGAGGAGAUAAGCGCGGCUCCUUGGAGCUUGUGUGCAAGUCACUGUCCUGGGGAGCCGGCUACGGCUCGAUGAGUCUCAAUUAGGAAAGGCCGGGGCUGGCGGAGGAAGGGAGGAGAGCAUUCUUCAUUCUCAUCACAUCCUGAGCCCGUGCCCAGGCUCCCACCACUUCCCUCCCUGGCCACAGAACCCAGGACAGGGCUGAGGAACCAUGUCUCCAUCCCCGACCACCCUCUUCUGUCUCGAAAUGAGGUCUCACUAUGUUGGCCAGGCUGUUCUCCAACUCCUGACCUGAGAUGAUCUGCCCUCCUUGGCCUCCCAAAGUGCUGGGAUUACAGUGUGAGCCACCAUGCCUGGCCUUAAAAUAGUUGUCAUUGUGGUAAAAUACAUAGAAAAGUCUGCUAUAGCUGGCAUUUGGUACAUUCAAUGCUGUGCAACCAUCACCUCUAUCUAACUCCAAGACAUUUCGGCACCCUCCGAGGGAACCCCACGCCGGUUCCGCCGCCACGUCUCGCCCUCCUCUCCCCCCUCCCCCAGCCGUGGAUCUGUUUUCUUCUCCUCCUUCUAUAGAUUUACCUAUUCUGGAUAUUUCAUGUAAACGACCUCAUAGACUAUGUGGCUUUUUCUGACUGGCUUCUCUCACUUAAAUUACAUGCACAUGUAUCUUCUGAAUAAAUAAAUAAUUAGGACAGAAUAAA